GUCCGGUACAUGAAUGGAUCGGUUAGAAAUCAAAUUUUAAUUUUAAUUAGAUUAGAGGGUUGAAAAUAGAGAGCACAAAAAAAGGGGGGGAGGUGGGGGUGUUCCACAGGGAAUAUUUCCUUCUUAUGAACUCUACAUCUGAAAGGUUUAAUUUUUUUUUAUUUAAUUGAAAGAGAGAAAAA